UUCUCAUCGACUAAUGGUUAGGUCACUGGAACUUCACUCCAGAAAUCUCGGUUCGAAUCCGUGUGAGAAUACCA
rnacentral:tRNA from 1 species